rnacentral:lncRNA from 1 species
AAAUGGAUAAAUUGAGACAAUGCCACUUUAAGAUAGUACUUUUGAACAAAGAGUAAGUUUUACUUGCCCUGAAAAAAAGACAAAAGAGGAAAAAAAAAAUCACUCUGUGCUCAGCUAAUAGUAUUUGUGUAUACUUGGUCUUAUAUCAAAAGGAACCUGAAUGUUCAAGGGUUUAAUGUUAACUCCAGCCAAAUGUCCUUUGAAGUUGCCCUGCUGUGACUAGGUGAUACGGAGGUCACAUACCGUUUUAGCUGCAAUAGCAAAGCUCGGUGGGAAGUACAGAAUGAAAUUUCUUCCCACUUAUCUCUAGAUCCUCAAUCUAGGUUUCUGAGAAACCAUACUCAGGCAGCAAAUAUAGCUUAAUAAUGACUUUUCAGAAUCCACACAUGAAGGUUAAGGCGGGGAAAAAAAAGCAGCACAUUGACAUUUGCCAUUUUACAGAAUAGAGGUGCAUCCCAAGCGUUUAUACAAGGAGUGUACCUUGCCUAAUAUACCAGUGAUGCUCCAGAGGCCACAGUAGAUGCCUAUAGGAUGGUUUAAUAUCCGGUCCACAACUGAUUGUACUCUCCAGUUAAAGCCACAUACAAGGAUUGCCCAAGGCAAAGAGAUGUAAACACUGGAAAUUCACCAUUUCAAUUACAAUGCCUUUAUUUUCUUUUCUACUCUAUAGAGCUGACUUUUAUAAAAGCUGAAACAUUCACAAACUGGAAACUUGAAAUUCGUCAUAGAAAAGUAUUUUUCUACAAUGCCAAAUACCAAGAUAUCGUCCAGACAUGAAUGGUUACUAGUGUUCUAUCUGUACCAUACACUGUAUUAGAAACUAAAAAAUGGAUGUGAAAGAAAUAAGAGGACUUUUCUCUAACGGUGAUAUUUACUGGAAGUAUAUAUGUAGCAAGGAGGGAAAUACAGAGUAUUUUACCUUGACUUCAGAUACGCAGUUUCCAUUCACUUUUCAUUUUAAGUUUCAUAUAAUUGAUAUCUAAAAAGUCUGGGCUCCAUCAAAUGUAUCCAUACUUUGAAGACUCCUAUGACAUUUAAACAAUUGAUUUACAAGUUUAAAACAAUUUAAACUAAAAUUCAGCCACUGUAUGUCUUAAAUGUAUAGGAACAGAGUAUAUUUUUUCAUAACCUAAAAUUCCUUAUAUAUGGCAAGGGAGAAAUUCAUUUAAAGAUAUCAUGAACCAGACCUCAAAUAUCUUUAUUAUUAAGAAUGAGAGAUAACAUCAAGUGGAUGCACUUAAGCAAUUCAAUCCUUAGUUUCAUAUGCCAUUCUUAUACAGAGUGUCAUUUUUAAAAUGAUUCCAAAAUUCAAAAUUAUCUGUUUAGUUUCUAACACUGUAUUAUCAUUCUGCUUGAGCCCAAAAAAGAAGUUGUAGAAACUUUAUUUUAAAUGUCACGGUAUUGUCUAAUUUUCUUUGAAAGAAUCUUCCUAAAGCACCUGUGAAUAAUUGUGUUAAAUUAUUCAUCGUGGAAGUUAAUUUGACAGUUAAUUAUAAUAAAGGAGAGGGUUUUCUGAACAUAAACCAGGACUCUAAUGCCUAAAGGAUAAACUACACUGACAGAAUUUGUCCUUGACCAUGGCCUUAAUCCCAAAAUUAACAUUUCAUACUUUUAAGAGCUAAAAAAGAAUAAUGAUGUUUUUGACAAUGCAGGGCAUACUUGUGUUUCUCUGGGAGAGAAGCAUGAUGUAGUGAGUUGAAUAUGCUUUGGUCCGAAUUCCCAAUUUCAACUGUCAUCAGCUGUGUGAUUGAAGCAAACUGUUUAACUCUCUGAGAUUCAUAAUUGUUUUCAUCUAUAAAAUGUUGAUUAAAACACGCAAUUUUUCACUUUGUUGUGCCAAUUAAAAGAAACGAACAGCUGCUACAUCUGUCCCUGAAAUAUAGAAGGCACUCAGUAAUUGUUAGCUCCCUUCCUUUCUACCUCUUCCUUCAGAGUGAGGGAAGGGAAUAUUUGUCGUUUCCUCCAGAGAAUUUUUUUAAAAUGCUAUUUUAUGACAUUUAUCCAUUAAUUAUAUUUUUCACAUGCAUCGGCUCUUUCCGUGUUUCCAAUAACCUUAUGCUGGGGCAAAACAGAUCCUUAUUACUUUUUUACAGGUAAAGGAACAGGUUCAGGGAAAUUAAUUAAAUUAACCACAUGCCCAAAACUAGAAAAUGAGAUAAUCAGAUAUAAACACAGGUCCAUCUGAUUUUAAAACAUAUUCUCUACCUCCUAUAUCACUCCCAAGCCAGUGGUUUUAUACACAGUGGUACAAAAAUCUCCUUGACUAAACUGUAGAAAAAGGAGAAAAACUGGUAUAAUCAGGGAGUUUUCCUAAAAGUGGAAAUAUUCACAAUUUUUAAUUCAUGAGAUUAUCCUUUUUAAGGAUAAAAUAUAUUUUAUUUUAAAGCAGUAGUGAGAUGGUAGAGAUUUUUUCUCUUGUCUUUUUCAGCUAAAAUUAGACAAUGUCAUGCCUACAUGUAUCCUUUUUUUAAAAAAAAUUUACUAGACUAUGAAAUGCAGAAGUUGAGAAAUGUUAUACUACAGCAUGGUACUUUAUUACUCUCACUAAUAAUUUAAAAAUAAAAUUGCACUGAAAAAGCAUGAGACUUCCAAAUGAAGCUGGCCCUAGGGAAUGUAAUAUAAUGAUGUGGAUAAACCCUACUUCCAUCAGAUAUAAACACAAAACUCUAAAAAGGGCAUUUAGACUUUUGAGUAGAUUGCAGUGGACGUAGCUUCAGCAGAUCUGUGAAAUCUGAUGGCGUCAAUUGUAACAAGCUUUAUGUUUAUAGGACAGAAAAGACCCCAAGGACAUGACUGACUAUUGUCAAGUAAGGCAGCCCCCAGUGGAAGCACACCUACCAAGGGGCAGCAGUAUUCAUGACGAAUGCUGCAGUGAAGACAGGGUCAGAGUUAUCAGACCACAUUAGGGUUAGCAAGACACUAACACUACACUGCUGUAGGAUUUUCCAGAUUUUUUGCUAUAUGUCAAUUUAUUUUCAAUAGGAUGAAAUUCUCCUUCUUCAUUUAUUCUUGGACACCCUUCUUGAAGUAUCUAGCUGGGAAAAUAAGGAUUAAAGUGCCUGAGAUUUAGUAACUUAGUAUUAACACUUUUGUAUAUAUACUGUCCUUCCUUUUUCCCCAGAAACAAGGCUAGGUUGCCCUGGCACGAUGCUCGUUAAAUACCCUGUGCAUAUCAUUUUCAUUGCACCUCCAUUCUAUGGCACAUUUCCUUCUUUAUCUGGGGAUAUACAUCAGUGGUAUGUGGCACAUGACUGGCACUCAGAAAGUGGGUAGAUUGGGGAAAAAAAAAGGGAAAAAAAGAAAGUGGAUGGGUGGAUGGAUGGAUAGAUGGUGUCUCUAGCACAGGUACAUCUUGAGCAACUUUAGUGGCUUCCUUCUGUAGGUAUGAGCUCCAAUAAUGCAGUCCUUGGGAGUCCCUACAGAGGGCAACACCAACAUAUUUCAACAGAACUUCAGAGUCAUUGAAACACCCUCAGUAUUUGAAGACCCAUAUUCCAAAUUUGGUCAACAUUUAUAAAAUUCAAGAACGCUUAUAGUGACAUAUGAUGUCACUGGUUUAAUAACUAUAUAAUCUUAUAAUAAAAAAACAAAGAUGGAAGAAAUACCUCAUUUGACAUAUCUUUGCGAAUAUUCAGUAUAUUUCCUUGAUGAUGUAAAGAACUAUGUGUGGCCAAUCUUUCAAUAUAUGAUACUAAAUACAUUCACAGGACAAGAUAAAAUGCAUACUAUUAUUCUUAACUUUAAAAGCAAAACUAGAUAGAGCAGGGUAGUUAAAAGCUCAUGUGGAAGUAGAAUCUACUUUCAACAGACUUUUUUUUUUUUCCCCUCAGUUAUAAACAGCAAAUCUCAAAAUGGUUUGGGGGUUCUUUGAAAUAGAGAAGUUAAAAUGACAUAAAAAUUCAGAUUAUAGCUCAAGACAAAGGGAGAUAAAUCAUGCAGUCUAUGCUUUCACGAUUGGAUUUAGCAGAAGCCCUUGGGACAAUGAUAUAAGUUUCAAUAUACCAAAAGACAGACUUUUAAACGUUGAUAACACAAAUAUGUUGAAAGUGUGAAAAAAUUUUCAGCAUCAUUGUUUAAAAUACUGCACCUUUCCCAAUUGAAAAAGACAUGCCAAAAACAUUUUCUAAGAGUUCCCGUCAUGGCACAGUGGAAACGAAUCCCACUAGGGACUGUGAGGUUGCAGGUUCAAUCCGUGGCCUCGCUCACUUUACCCCUGUGAUGUGCUUGCCUAAAACCCAUAAUUCUAAUCUAAUUAUGAGAAAAAUAUCAGAGAAUUCCAAUAGAGGAAUAUCCUAUAAAAUACUUGCUCAAAACUUUCAAGGGCAUCAAAAACAUAGACAAGAAAAGUCAUAGACAAGAAAAGCCUCAGGAGACAUGAUGAGUAAAUAUUGUAUAUUGGUUGGAAUCUUGUAACAGAAAAGGAUAUUGGUUAAAAACUAAAGAAAUAAACUGAAUUAACUAUGGACUUUAAUUACUAAUGUAUCACAAAUAGUUCAUUAAUUGUAACAAAUGUCAGUGGGAGACAUAAGUGAAGAUUAAAUAUAAUCUAUUUGGUAUUCUCCAUUUUUCCAUAAAUCUAAAACCAAAAAUUGUUAAAGCCUAUUGAAUACAAUUAAAACUGGUUAAAAUAAAAAUUUUAUAUUAAGUAUAUUUUACAACAGUAAAAAAAUCCAUUAUAAGAAUAAAUAAAUAAAUGACUCAGAGGCUAGAGCUAGAAUUCUUCUCAAUUGCUAGGGCCACAUGGUAAGGAAUUAUGUUUGGACAAAGUCCCUCUGCCCUCCUUCCCCUUCCAUUUCCACUUGAACACCUUCUGUGGCAGAACCUAAGGAAAAGUUGGCUGUCAAGUGAGUCUGUGAGGAUGGUUUUCAGUUCCAGUCUCCUAAACUUAGAGUUAUUGGGGUAGAGCUAAGAUAUGUUAGAUAAACCACUAGCAUAGCUGGCAGGGAUUGGUCCAGGAACUUAACGGAUGUCAGCAAGGACCACCUUUUGACUUUUCUCACCUCCAAGUUGCCUUCAUUCUUAGGUAAAAAGCUCACAGAGGCUCAAGGUCCACAUUCCAGGUUCAAAAGAGUGCCUCUUUUUGUUUGUUUGUUUGUUCAUGCUUGCAGUAUUCUGGGAUUGGUUUUUCAUUAGACCAGAUUGACUCAAAUCAUGUGACAUGCAUGUCUAAUCAUGUUGCUUUGAGAAAGUUAUGAUUCGAUUGGUCAUGCUAGUUAUGUCUCCAGGUAAAGCCAAUUCCAUCUAAUUUUACUACAUAAAUUGAUAGUGUAUCCAACUCUAUAAGGGAGUAUGCAAAGGCAUUGUGACGAUCGCAAGGGUCCAAAAUAGCUUUAUAAACCAC